GAUGAACGCUAGCGGGAGGCCUAACACAUGCAAGCCGAGCGGUAUUGUUUCUUCGGAAAUGAGAGAGCGGCGUACGGGUGCGUAACACGUGUGCAACCUGCCUUUAUCUGGGGGAUAGCCUUUCGAAAGGAAGAUUAAUACUCCAUAAUAUAUUGAACGGCAUCGUUUAAUAUUGAAAGCUCCGGCGGAUAGAGAUGGGCACGCGCAAGAUUAGCUAGUUGGUGAGGUAACGGCUCACCAAGGCGAUGAUCUUUAGGGGGCCUGAGAGGGUGAUCCCCCACACUGGUACUGAGACACGGACCAGACUCCUACGGGAGGCAGCAGUGAGGAAUAUUGGUCAAUGGGUGCAAGCCUGAACCAGCCAUCCCGCGUGAAGGACGACUGCCCUAUGGGUUGUAAACUUCUUUUGUAUAGGGAUAAACCUACCCUCGAGAGGGUAGCUGAAGGUACUAUACGAAUAAGCACCGGCUAACUCCGU
rnacentral:rRNA from 1 species